rnacentral:tRNA from 1 species
AGCCCGGUAGAGGACUGGCAGUUCUGCCGAAUGUAGUGGCCAAGCAUAGAGGCCUUUGGAGCCUUUGACCCCAGUUCGAAUCUGGGCCGGGCUA